UUAGCUGAAUAAUAAUUCAUGCACGGUCUUAAAGGCUUGGUCUGAAGUGUUAAACGAUAUUGAUUACUGCGUGGAAAAAGCCUUGUCUGUAUAUAAGCCUCUAUUCCUAUCUAAAUAUUAUAUGUUUAUUUCCAUUUAGAUAAGCUAUCGGUAGAAAUAUCUAAAGAGUCCAGUCCAAAAUCAAAUUCACUCUCAACUCAAAUGUUUUGCUGUAUGAAGCUGAUUUAAAAGUGAAAUGAUUUUCAUUUAAUUAUGCCGCCUGGCAGCCGGGUAGAAAAUGUAAUACAAAAAUCCAUUCAAUUUUCUCUAACUACCUCAUUGGGUGGGAAGCUGAAAUCCGGAAAAAUACGGUCUACGGCAAACAAGCAAUGGAAACAAACUGCACCAAAUUAAUUUGUUGAUGAUAUUGGCUUUCGUAUGCGGCAGCAGCCACGGCAUUGAGAACAAGCCACAGUGGACGGAAAGAUAGAGAGAUGGAAAGAUGAAAUUGCAUCAACAGAAGCAACAAUAACCACUUUGGCAUUUGUACAAGGGUACUGCCGCGCUCCUCAUACGGUCAAAUGUCGUCAGAUCGUUAUUUACAACUACUGUGACACCAAAAAAACAACAAUAACACGUUGUCAUCACCAACACGAUUACUACCACCACCGUCGGCUGCUUAGACAGGAUGGCAUGUAGUUAGACUAUUGCUUGCAGCUGCUGUAACAAGUUGCUGCAACAACAACGGCAACGUACAGCAGGCAAAUCAGGUUCACACUGUCCGUGUAUAAUCACGAAUGCCAACGUUGUAAUAAUGAUAAUUUCAAAUGAAAUUGAAUCCUUUCAUGCCUUCCUCCAGCCGCCGACAACCAGCUACCACAUACAAGCACGCGUCGCAGUCUUUGAACGACCGAGUUCGCUUAGUAACGUAAGACCAAACAGAUGGUUGGAUGGAUGGAGGGGUUCCAAAGACCAACAGAGCAAAAGGCAAAUGGGCUUGCGGACCAGCAGAACGAUUGGCACAAAUGAUUUGGCAAGUGAGCCGACAUAGUGAGCUCAACAGUUAGACUGCGCGUUGUGAGUUGUGAGAGUUGAUGUAUGGCGGUCUGACCCACUUACAGCUAAUUUAAUUCGAAAAUUCACUGCGACAAAGAUGUAAUUUUUUAUGCUCAUUUUCCUGCCAUUUUUAUUUACAUACAAAAGAAAUUACAAGUUCGCAAAAAUGGGCAGCUUGACAGAAGUAGCUCAAAAGUAUUUAAAUGGACAAAAAAUCAUGAGCGCUAUCAGGGUUGGCUUCGAUGCGGCCAGUAGGGUAUGAGUGCUGCAGAGCAGGCAAAUAAAGAAAGAAGAUGGAGUGGGUAGAAUUUCGUAUUUCUCUGUAAAUAAGUAUUAGGAAUAGGAGACUUUACAUAAACGAGUAUAUUUGAAGAACCGUAAUGAAGCGCCUGCAUGAGUAUCAGGGAAGAAAGUAAAGGAAAUGAAUACGGUGAAUAGCAUGUACUUACCUUUCUACCUACUUAACAAGAAUACACAAUUUUCAAAUAUUGUGAUAAUCACUUUUAUAUAAACGGAAAUUAUAUUAUACUCGUACAUAACUGAACAGAGAUUUUUUCUUAUUAUUAAACAUAACCCACAGACAUUAGUUGAUUGCGUAGAGAUAUGUAUAGCAAAAUACACCAUGUACAUAUAUUUGAUAAUUUCAUGUUCAUAUUUAUACUAGGCUUGACCGAAUCGAAACACGAAGGUGCCUCUACUCAGUGAUCUUAUAAAGAAUAAAACUGAUUUUAUUGUC